UAUUAUUAGAAUAACUUUGAAUCGGCAUUGCCUGGGGGUACAUGAAAAAGCACAGAUCCCUCCCCAGGAAGACACUGUUUUUUGUGUGGAGCCUACGAAUUGGGCUGACAAC
rnacentral:snoRNA from 1 species